rnacentral:rRNA from 1 species
UCCUACGGGAGGCAGCAGUGGGGAAUAUUGGACAAUGGGCGCAAGCCUGAUCCAGCCAUACCGCGUGGGUGAAGAAGGCCUUCGGGUUGUAAAGCCCUUUUGUUGGGAAAGAAAAGCGAUCGGUUAAUACCCGGUUGUUCUGACGGUACCCAAAGAAUAAGCACCGGCUAACUUCGUGCCAGCAGCCGCGGUAAUACGAAGGGUGCAAGCGUUACUCGGAAUUACUGGGCGUAAAGCGUACGUAGGUGGUGGUUUAAGUCCGUUGUGAAAGCCCUGGGCUCAACCUGGGAAUUGCAGUGGAUACUGGGUCACUAGAGUGUGGUAGAGGAUAGUGGAAUUUCCGGUGUAGCAGUGAAAUGCGUAGAGAUCGGAAGGAACAUCUGUGGCGAAGGCGACUAUCUGGGCCAACACUGACACUGAGGCACGAAAGCGUGGGGAGCAAACAGGAUUAGAUACCCUGGUAGUCCACGCCCUAAACGAUGCGAACUGGAUGUUGGGUUCAACCUGGAACCCAGUAUCGAAGCUAACGCGUUAAGUUCGCCGCCUGGGGAGUACGGUCGCAAGACUGAAACUCAAAUGAAUUGACGGA